rnacentral:misc_RNA from 1 species
GAUGAAGAACGCAGCGAAAUGCGAUAAGCAAUGUGAAUUGCAGAAUUCAGUGAAUCAUCGAAUCUUUGAACGCACAUUGCGCCCGCCAGUAUUCUGGCGGGCAUGCCUGUUCGAGCGUCAUUUCAACCCUCAGGCCCCCAGUGCCUGGUGUUGGGGAUCGGCCCAGCCUUCCUGUAAGGCCGCCGGCCCCGAAAUCUAGUGGCGGUCUCGCUGUAGUCCUCCUCUGCGUAGUAGCACAACCUCGCAGUUGGAACGCGGCGGUGGCCAUGCCGUUAAACACCCCACUUCUGAAAGUUGACCUCGGAUCAGGUAGGAAUACCCGCUGAACUUAAGCAUAUCAAUAAGCGGAGGA